AAUCAACAAGGGAUUAGGUAC
rnacentral:siRNA from 1 species